AGAGUUUGAUCCUGGCUCAGAGCGAACGCUGGCGGCAGGCUUAACACAUGCAAGUCGGACGCUUUUGGGGUUUCGACCUCGAGGGAGUGGCGGACGGGUGAGUAGCGCGUGGGAACCUGCCCUGUUGUGGGGGAUAACCGAGGGAAACUUCGGCUAAUACCGCAUACGCCCGGGGGUAACUCCGGGGAAAGAUUUAUCGCAGCAGGAGGGGCCCGCGUCGGAUUAGGUAGUUGGUGGGGUAACGGCCUACCAAGCCGGUGAUCCGUAGCUGGUUCUGAGAGGAUGAUCAGCCACACUGGGACUGAGACACGGCCCAGACUCCUACGGGAGGCAGCAGUGGGGAAUAUUGGACAAUGGGCGCAAGCCUGAUCCAGCAAUGCCGCGUGAGUGAUGAAGGCCUUAGGGUUGUAAAGCUCUUUUCGGCGGGGACGAUGAUGACGGUACCCGCAGAAGAAGCCCCGGCUAACUUCGUGCCAGCAGCCGCGGUAAUACGAAGGGGGCGAGCGUUGUUUCGGAUUUACUGGGCGUAAAGGGCGCGUAGGCGGCGGGUCAAGUCGAGUGUGAAAGCCCCGGGCUCAACCUGGGAGGUGCGCUCGAGACUGGUCUGCUAGAGUUUCGGGAGAGGAGCGUGGAAUUCCCAGUGUAGAGGUGAAAUUUCGUAGAUAUUGGGAAGAACACCGGUGGCGAAGGCGGCGCACUGGACCGAGACUGACGCUGAGGCGCGAAAGCGUGGGGAAGCAAACAGGAAUUAGAUACCCUCGUAGUCC
rnacentral:rRNA from 1 species